UACGUAGGGUGCGAGCGUUGUCCGGAAUUAUUGGGCGUAAAGAGCUUGUAGGCGGUUUGUCGCGUCUGCCGUGAAAAUCCGGGGCUCAACCCCGGACUUGCGGUGGGUACGGGCAGACUAGAGUGUGGUAGGGGGAGACUGGAAUUCCUGGUGUAGCGGUGAAAUGCGCAGAUAUCAGGAGGAACACCGAUGGCGAAGGCAGGUCUCUGGGCAUUAACUGACGCUGAGGAGCGAAAGCAUGGGGAGCGAACAGG
rnacentral:rRNA from 1 species